rnacentral:sRNA from 1 species
AAGAGCGGGAACAGCAGGUGCGUCUGGUUUACAGCGUCGCUGAAGAUACCUUGACUUGUGGACUCAGUUCCUUUUGUACGGCAUUUCCAGUGAAUUUUAUUCUCCUGCAUUCCGCCAAACAGAUUACCUAAAACCUCGGGCAGAAGAGGAGAGGAGGAUAGCAGCAGAGGAGAAGAAGAAGCAGGAUGAACUGAAACGGAUUGCCAGAGAAUUGGCAGAAGAUGACAGCAUAUUAAAGUGAGUGACC